rnacentral:RNase_P_RNA from 1 species
AAAGCAGGCCGCCUUAUCGCUGCGUUUUUGGACGUGGAGGAAAUUCCGGACACCGUAGGGCAGCAUAGUGGGUAACGCCCACCGUUCGUCCCCCGGACGAAAAGGACUAGUGCAACAGAAAGUAUGUACAGGUAAUGCUGUAGUGAAACCAGGUAAACUCUAUGCGGUGCAAUGCCAUGUAUACCGGCUCUUAAGGACGGCCCGUCCGUUGCCGGAGGGUAGGCAGCUAAAGCUUGCUGGUAACAGUAAGUUCAGAUAAAUGAUAGGGGUCCCGUUUAUUCGGGAAACAGAAUCCGGAUUACAGGCCUGUUUUUAUU